rnacentral:misc_RNA from 1 species
GUGAACGCCCUCACGGGCUUAUAACUAUUCCAAACCUCCUGUGAACCGUGCCCUUCGGGGCUAUUUUACAAACAUGGUGUAAUGAACGUCAUAUAUCAUAACAAAACA